CAAGAGACGCUCAGACGGCAGACACUGUUAGUCUUAUUCGUUCAAAGGCGUAGAAGUUCUCUGAAAGAACUGGCGUCCAUGAGUGAAAUUGUCUUGGUGUUUUGCUAAUUAUUUUAGUGCUUUGCGAAUUAUUUUAUUUGUAUUUUAUGGAGUGCGGCGAGACUGCUACUGCUGCCUGAUGAGGGACUCAUAUGGUGUCUCUAGAGGUAAGGGAUAUUCCACCAUGGUGCUAUUGGAAUCUUCUAGAUAUGAAAUGCAAAAUGCCUGAACCUUGGAGGGUUUACGAAUCCUUAGGGUAUUUGCAGUCUUAAUCACUUUGGAUCAGUAAGGUUAGAUUCUGUAAUUGAUGAAAAGAUUACUGCCGAGUAAGUUUUUAAAUUGCUAUCACAUUUCGUAAUAGGUUUGUAAAAUAGAAUUAGAAAGUUUUUGUCAGCUUCUCAAAGGCGUUUAUAGUUUUAAUAGUUUCAGAUAAUAUUAAAAGUAAUAUUUGAAUUAACCCCAGAUAAUUCCUUAAGGUUAGGAUAUUUGGGAUGGUACAUGUAACUGCUAUAAAUAUUUCAUUGUUGGCGAAGAAAAUGGCUUAAUAAUAUUUGAGGGAUACUUGGUGAUUUAUUAGACUUUGUUAAUUUCUUAAUUCUUAUUCCCUUUUUUAUCUUGUGAUGCUUCACGAACACUCGUGGGUAUAAUAUUUAUAUACCAUUUCAUUAGUACCUCUCUUAAUAUUGUGUAGAUAUUCAUUUGCAUGCCGUUUAUCUUAUUUUUGUUUUUAUUGGUAUUUCUUGAAAUUUAUAUAUUUUUUUUCAAAAUUUACCAUGCAUGUGAUGUGUGCAGUUUUGCCAUUAUUUAUGCACUUUAUUUUAUUUCCAUUUUGCAUAGUUUUGUAGUUCAUUGUGUACAUUUCUGUGCCGUAUAUCACCUAUGCUUGCAGUUUCAUUUUAUUGCUUAUUGUAUUCACAGAUGCUUUUUAUUUCCAGUAACACAUUAUAAUAUAAUAUUUAGGCUAUCCAGAAUUAAGUUAGUAUGGGAAUUUGCCAGUUUCCAAGAUCUUUUAAAUUUGUAAUCGUUUUCUUGUAAUUCAUAAGUCUUUCUAGGAUUGCUAUGUAAAACACACUACCUUGUCUUAGCGUUUAAUUUUAUCAAUUUUGAAUAAGCUCCUGAACAACAGUGAUAAAAUUUGUUUAUUAGUUGAAUAAGUUAAACUUGAGUCGUUGUCAUUAGAAUUUUUAUUUUUAUACCAGAUGUAAUUUUUCAAAUGUUAGGUGGUCAUUCUGGAUAGUCUCAUAAUCUACGCUAUAUCAUCGCUCAAGACCCCAAAAGGUAUGGAAAUUUCAAUUGUUCUCGAAUUCACCAGCAUCUUUAAUAUUUCUCUUAGGGUGUGCCAUGUAGGAGUAAUAAGAAAUAAAUUUUCGAAUUGAGUUUUUGAAGUGCACUACAUUUUCAGUCAGUAGUAGUUUAUUAACGCAUUUUGCACUGUGGUGUUGGCUUUUGUUUGAAUGGUGUUGCAACAGGGAAUGUGAUGCCUUCAUCUUGCCUAGGCUUGAUGAAAAUAAAAUGGCUCAUAAGGUGACUAAGAAAAGUGAGACGCAUUCUCGACUCUUAUUAAAUUCUGAAGAAACUGGUGUACCCGUCCCCCUAGGUAGACGGAAGGUCCAAACUUAGCGGUCUGAUACUAAGGCAAUCGGUGUCGCGCAAACAAAAAUCUUCUAACCUUACAUAUUCCGUCCUUAAUACAUUAGGUAUUUAGUCUGCCAUUCUUGAACUCUGUGGGUUGUGGUCCUAUGAUAAUUGGCCAGUAGGCAGUCUCCCAAUCAUUCUUAUUUCACUCGCGGGUGUUAGAAUGCUUCUUGGCCCAGCUUUCCAGAUGGUAUAACUGUUUUUGUGACAUUAUCUUUUUUAACUACAGCCUUUUCAGUGUACUCAAAGUUCAAGAUGGUGUAUUAUUAAUAUUAGUUUUUAGUGACAUUUUAUAAUCUUUGUUUCUAUAGUCCAGAUAUUUUCGAAUUUUGAAAGCACAUAUUUUGUAGAUUAACUAGAUGGGAGAUUUAACAUUGAGCCUGCAAAAUAUAUUCACCCCGUUUUGGUAACUACAGACAGUCUUCAAUAUUUAACAAAGUUCCCCCUUUCUGCCCGUUAAAAUGAGAUGUGUUUAUUAUAAAAGUGUAUAUAAAAUAUAUUUGUGCAUAUAAAAUAUAUUUGCGUAUGCAAUACAUACAUACAGGGCCCCUGGCUCUUUUCCUUGGUGAACUUUCCCUACUUUUCGAAUUUUUUCUAAGGACCUUAUCUCUAAAAUUAUUACUAAUUGUUUUUUGUUCCUACACGAUAUACAAA